GCCAGUUGUAUGAAAGUACAGCACAUAAAAUCAUGUACACCACCUAAUACUGGCUAUGAUUAUAAAUGGCAGUGUGACUGGCUUAUGUACAUACUACACUUUUUAUUGUUAUUUUAGAGUGUACUCCUUCUACUUAUAUAAAAACAGUUAACUGUGAACAGCCUCAGGUGGGCCCUUCAGGAGGUCCCAGAGUCAGGCAUCGUUAUCAUAGGAGAUGACAGCUUCCUGCGUGUUACUGGCCCUGAAGACCUUCCAGUGGGACAAGAUGUGGAGGUGGAAGACGGUGGCAGUGAGAAUCCUAACCCUGCGAGGGCCUUGGCUAAUUCUAUGGUAGGACAGUCGUGUCCUGGGCCUUCGAAUUCACUCCCCACUCCCUCCCUGUCUUGUCCGGUCCUGCAAGCUCCGUCCAUGACAGCUGAAGAACCUAAAAGGGUAGAGGAAAGUGAAGAGCCCAGGUAAUGGCCACGGCACCUUGGGUUCUUGAGCAGCUGCCAUCUGGAAGUCAAGUACUCUUCUGCCCAAGGGCUGUCCAGGGCAUCAUCCACCAUUUCUACUCUGAGUCUCAGGACUGUCUGGCCCUGCCCUGCUGCCCUGGAGAAAGGUAUUUUCUUGUUGCAUCUCCAUUUACUAUCCUCUUUCUCACCUCUCAAGUAACACAUCUCCAUUGACUCAGUCAGAUCACCUCUGCCUGGCAGAGCCAAUUCAGAGUCUUCUUUCCCUUUAAGACUUCCUCUGUUCGGAGUGUUGUGCUAACAUUGAGGCCUAAAACCACAUAUUUUUCCUCCCUGUUGACUGUAUGUGUAUCUGUGAAUUGAUUUUUUAAAUGACCAUAUUUACCUUCUCAACCCCUCUUAAUAUGUUGAGCUGCUAGAGGACACAACAUACCGAUAUGAAUGCUGCAUGGAUUUCAUAAUGCUGGGGGCUGAGUUGGAGUUUAUGAUGCCUCCAUGACUGCAGCUUUCUUAUCAACACUGACCAUAUCAUCUUCUUCUUUUGUAACCUCCCACAGCACCUGGACUGAAGGCUGUGCACACAGUGGAUGUUAAAUAAAUAUUGACUGAUAUUCUUUGUUCAAUAAUAUUUCUGUCCAU